GAUGAACGCUGGCGGCGUGCCUAACACAUGCAAGUCGAGCGAACGGACGAUAAGCUUUCUCUUUUGAUGUUAGCGGCUGACGGGUGAGUAACACGUGGAUAACCUACUUCUUUUACUUGGAUAACUUCGUGAAACCGUAGCUACUACUGCAUCAUAUUUUCUACCGCAUGGUUCAAAAGUGCUUGACGCUCUUGCUGUCACUUAUAGCUGGUUUCGCGCUGCAUUAGCUAGUUGGUAAGGUAACGCCUUACCAAGGCGACGAUGCGUAGCUGACCUGAGAGGAUGAUAAGACACACUGGAAAUGAGACACGGUCCAGAAUCCUACGGGAGGCAGCAGUGGGGAAUAUUGGACAAUGGGCGCAAGCCUGAUCCAGACAUACAGCGUGGGUGAAGAAGGCAUUCGGGUUGUAAAGCCCUUUUGUUGGGAAAGAAAAGCAGCAGGUUAAUACCCCGCUGGUCUGAAGGUACCCAAAGAAUAAGCACCGGCUAACUUCGUG
rnacentral:rRNA from 1 species